AUGAGAAUCCCGUGUACCCUCAAGAACACUUUGCUUAUCAUAAGAGACCGUUUUGGCCUGUCCUUUUCCUCAAAAGGAUUGAGUUACCUUGCCGCACUUUUGUUACUACUAUCGUUACUUGCUCGUUACAAAUUAUCUUGCUAUCAAACUACUCCGCUACUUACAAUUUCAGCACUUGCAGACAUUACCUUACUGAAAACUACUUGUCAUUUCCUUCUGCUCCUCAUUGGGGUUGACACUCUUACUUAUCGAAAAGAGCUACAAUUGAUCCCUAUACUUGUGGAUCAUCAAUUCGCUUGCAUGUUACUCUUUGCCAUGUCAUCACGUGCAGUUCAUCUACAGUUUUUUCAAAACUUGCAUCCGUUCGGGUUUCCCAGUUUUCUCCGUUGUCCGUUUCGGCAUCCGACACUCUCACAUACACCCCCCGCACCUUCCAGAUCUCGUUUUGUGAGCGGGAGAAAAACGUUCUCGGAAUGGGCCAAGAUUUUUCGAGUGGCUUGGUACAUAACCGGUAGGCCGCCUGUCAAAUUUCGUUCCAUUUGGAGGUCGUUUGAUACCCCAACUACUAACCACGUUAACCGAAGCACUCCUUCUAUUUGCAGCCCAACACCCCUCCAUAACAGCCCACUAGCCCAUCUAAACCCCCUCCAUGCUCUUCGCCGUUGGAUCACGAUCGUGUGGGCAACAACCGCACCUCAAUAUCCCUAUCGUAGCUCCCUCUACCUAUAA
rnacentral:rRNA from 1 species